GGACACAGUCUUUGACAUUUGCGUUUGCGCACGCCAUGAAGACAUUACGCCCCUGCUAAAAUCGGUUUCCUAUUGAACAUACUUCUUUCCGUAAGAAAUAGUAUAGUUUGAUUACAUUUUAGGGUAUCUGAGGAGUAAAUAGACAUGUAUUUUGACUUGUGAACCAAAGUUUAGGGGUAGAUUUUUGGAUUCCUUUCUCUGCAUGUUGAACGAGUGGAUUACUCAAAUUGAUGGCGCCAACUAAACAGACUUUUUGGAAUAUAAAGAACUAUUUUAUCUAACAAAAUGACACUACAUGUUAUAGCUGGCACCCUUUGGAUGACAAAUCAGAAGAACAUUUUCAAAAAGGAGCUGGCUACUGUACCGGAAUACUUCCAGCAAUUGUGCUAAGCUGACAAUAUGCUAACUUCACUAUCCAAACUGCAGACAGAGACAUAAAAAAUGGUAUCCAUGUUUCUGG
rnacentral:lncRNA from 1 species